CGCCCCUCAGGCGCGCCCCCGCGGCGUGUCCCGCCGGGAGCGUGCUUGGGGCAGCGGGAAAGGAAACCCGAAACUGCGGGGUUUGUGCUUAAAACCCAUCAGGCACAGAGGUGUUGCGGUUCUCCUUCAUUGAGCCGUGAAAGAAAUGGCGCUGACGCGCACAGUGCUGCCAUAGAAUCAUAGAAUGGUUUGGGUUGGAACGGAUAUUAAGGACCCCUCAGUUCCCACCUCCCUGGGCAGGGACACCUUCCACUAGACCAGGUUACUCCAAGCCCAUCCAAGCUGGCGUUGAACAUUUCCAGGGAUGGGCCAUCCACAACUCUUCCGGGUAGCCUGUUCCAGUGUCUUACCACCCUCGUGGUAAAGAAUUUCUUCUGAAUAUCUAUUCUAACCCUACCCUCUUUCAGUUCGAGGCCAUUCCCCUUUGCGUGGUCACGACAGGCUCUUGUAAACAAUCCCUUUCCAGCUUUCAGGUUGGAAUAGGGGAAGGAACAGUCGUGGAUGUGGUUCAUGAAGCGAUUCUGCAUCAACUGGGCCGAGCAGGGAAAGAAGAUCAGGGCUCUCAUAGAAAGUCCUCUCAGUUCAGCGGUUAACAGCAAGGCUUCCUCACAGGGUGCUUGGCUUGCUGGAAGCCUUUUUCCUGCCUGAUAAACGCUGAAUGGUUUCACCUACUACAAAGGCCAUGGGACUGGUCAAGGCUUGAUUCUUCAGGAUCUACCUGUGCAGCUCUGUACAGCUGUGAACCUGACAGGUGAGAGUGGUGUGCCCUAACAAGGCCUAAGAGACACUGAAUUUGCAGCAUAGGAGUGGUACGGCAGCCACCCGGAGCCACCCUACCAUACUCAUUGUUUCAACCUCCCUCUGAGACACCACUGUGUCAAAUGUUGCUUAGACACAGCUUCAAUGAGCUACCAACAGUGAAAACGACAUUUUCUCUCCUGUUUAGCAGAGCUGUUGUCAAAAAUUAGGGUUACAGAUUGGGUUAGAUCUCUGAAGAACAUCCGUACAUGAAACAACAAAGUAAAUAUGCCACCAGGCAGUGGCCAGCUCUCUUCUACCUGAAAUGUACCACCAGGCAUUCCAGUCAUUAUUUUUACUGGCUUUGGGCAUCAAAAUGCUGACACAAAUCACAUUUUCCUAUUUUCUGACAUAAUUCUUUUAAAUUACUACAUAAACAGGAGAACUGACUUAGGAGAGACAGCCAAGCUUUAUUUCUUGAAAAAGUUGGCAGUCUGAAAAACAGCAGUUGGGGGAGGGUGAGCUCUUUGCUUUUCAGCAUUUGCUGUUACUCACAAUAGUGGUAAAUAAAAAUCAGACAGAUGCAUAAUUUAUACUGAUGGUGCCCAUUUGAAAAGUAUCCCUUAAAGCUUUGUAAUGAGUCUACAACCUGAUAAUAAAAUUGGAAAUCAACUUCAUUUACUUACAGAGAACAAGCUACUUCAUGAAAAUAACUUUGUGCUUGUCCUCCUUUAUCUGGUAUAGCCAUUCUCUAAAAUCCCUCUGUUUCCUCUUCAAUAACAAAGUAAUCAUAUCAAAACCACAACUUGGUUGCUACUAAUAACACUUUUCUGAAUACAAAGCCUAUCUAUCCAUGGAGGGAAUGCAUAAUUCAAAAAUCCCAGCUGCAUUAUUUCAUAUUUGGCAAUCCUGCACAGAUUUCCAUGUCAUGAUUUAGCUACCAAGUCUCCAAAGCUUGUCCAUUCAAGUUGUAGCAUCUUCUCUUCCACCAGGAGACCACAAGUGUGUUUUAAAGGAAAAUUGUGAUGUAUUUGAGGGGAUGGAAAAGCGUAAAGCACCUCCAAUUUCUGUUAGUCUUUUCAUUCUUUCCUUAGUUAAGACUACUCUCAGAAAAACCCUAAACACACAAUAAGGUCAUCUCUUAAGAUUUCAUCCUCAAUUUCAAAAAUGGACUGACAAUUAAAACCAUUUGUGAGAGUCAUGAAUGAGCUAGUUGCUUUUUUAGACGGAAAGAUUCUCUUUUCACAACAUUGCCAUAUUUAUUUUUGGCCCCUUGGCUGAUGAGAUGACCUCCCUUUAGAAUCUGCAAAUAUAAAUAGAAUUGACAUUUUAAUGAUCAGUUUUCACAAGCUUUUAUAAUCCAGCAUCUCAAGCAUCAAUAUUGUUUCAAGUCUGGAUGCACAGGGCAGUUUUACAGCUGCCCUGUCUCUGUAAUGUGCAGGCACCCAGUGAAGUUGCCUGAUUAGGUGAAGUGUCCGAGAGAAAUUACUGAGGUGUUAUCUCUCUGAAAUGCCAUAAGGUGGCAGUGGAUUGGAAAAUUGGUACAUCUUCUAGGUAGAACAAAGUUCUAAGGAGUUCAGGAGUAGAGUAGAGGAGGGGUUUUGUUUGCUUCUUUAGGGGUUUUCAUUUGUCUGUUUGCAUUUCAUAUAUCAGCAAUAAACUUCAAUCAUUCUAAUCACUGAAUAGACCUGCUCCAACAGGAGCCAGUAGACAUGUUCCUGCACAAGAACUCCUGCCUUUUUCUUUCUCCAUUGAUUCCUUUUCAAGUGAUCAGCAGGAAUAUUUUCUGUUUGCUUACCCUGCAGCUCUUGCUGGGUCAUUCCACCAGAAGGCAUGAUGAGAGGCCUACCUCUUGCUAGUCUGAUAAGGAUGCAAUCAUUCAAGGCUAUUUUGCUAUGCUAGAGAACCUAAAUUUUAUUAAUGGAUCUACCGGCUUUGUAUCUAACUCCUUAAUAUUGCCAAGGCAAUUAUCCAGAGAAUAAAUUAGUGAGAUACUGUAA